GAUGACGCCGUCCAAUGAAAACAAAGGAUGGACAGUGCGCUAAUUUUCAAAAUGAGCUUUUCAGGCUAGCCAGAAAGCUAACGUUAUUCAUCAAGUGAAAGGUAUCAUCAAGUGACAGGGACGACUUUUUCACCAUGGCAGAGGAAUCUGCUGUCAAAGUCUGUGUACACGUUCGACCUCUCAUAGAACGGGAGGAAACUGCUGCAGAAAGCGCCGAGACGGUCAAGUUGUAUUGGAAAGCUGAUAAGCAGACAAUUCAUCAGGUUGACGAUGGACAUUUUACCAAGAACUUCAGUUUCGAAUUUGAUUGACCUGGCUGGGGCUGAGAGAGCAAGUCAAACAGGUGCUGAAGGUACACGUUUCAAAGAAGGAUGUAAUAUAAAUCGCAGCCUGUUCACCCUCGGUCAAGUGAUCAAGAAACUGUCUGAUGAAACCCAGAAGCAGGGCUUUUACUAACUACAGGGACAGUAAACUCACCCGUAUCCUCCAAAAUUCCUUGGGUGGAAAUGCAAAAACUGUCAUCUGCACAAUCACCCUAGUUACUGUGGAAGAAACGCUUAGCACUCUUCAAUAUCUGCCCAUCUCUACAAUGUAGUUUGCUAGUGCAGCAAAGAACAUGAAGAAUGACCCGCAUGUCACAGAGGUUUCUGAUGACGAAGCCCUUCUUAGACGAUACAGAAAUGAAAUUGUGGAUCUCAAGCGCUGACUUCA